rnacentral:rRNA from 1 species
GAUGAACGCUGGCGGCGUGCUUAAUACAUGCAAGUCGAACGAAGAGUGUAGCAAUACGCUCUUAGUGGCGAAUGGGUGCGUAACGCGUUGGUGACCUGCCCCGAAGAGGGGGAUAACAGUCCGAAAGGAUUGCUAAUACCGCAUGUGGUCCUCGGAUUUAGAAACCGAUGACUAAAGCCGCAAGGCGCUUUGGGAGGGACCUGCGUCCCAUCAGCUAGUUGGUGAGGUAACGGCCCACCAAGGCUACGACGGGUAGGGGACCUGAGAGGGUGGCCCCCCACAAUGGAACUGAAACACGGUCCAUACACCUACGGGAGGCUG